rnacentral:rRNA from 1 species
AGAGUUUGAUCAUGGCUCAGAACGAACGCUGGCGGCGUGGAUAAGACAUGCAAGUCGAGCGAGACUUUCUCUGGUAGCAAUACCGGGGGAAGUUUAGUGGCGAACGGGUGCGUAACACGUGGGCAAUCUGCCGAGAAGUGGGGGAUAGCUCGCCGAAAGGCGAAUUAAUACCGCAUGUGACCAGGGGGGACAUCCUUCUGACGUCAAAGCCGGGGCAACCUGGCGCUUUUUGAUGAGCCCGCGGCCUAUCAGCUAGUUGGUGAGGUAACGGCUCACCAAGGCGGUGACGGGUAGCUGGUCUGAGAGGACGACCAGCCACACUGGAACUGAGACACGGUCCAGACACCUACGGGUGGCAGCAGUCGAGAAUUUUUCUCAAUGGGGGAAACCCUGAAGGAGCGACGCCGCGUGGAGGAUGAAGGCUUUCGGGUUGUAAACUCCUGUCAUUUGGGAACAAUGCUAUUCGGUUAACUGCCGAGUGGUUGAUAGUACCAGAAGAGGAAGAGACGGCUAACUCUGUGCCAGCCGCCGCGGUAAUAC